UACAGAGGGUGCGAGCGUUAAUCGGAAUUACUGGGCGUAAAGCGCGCGUAGGCGGCUCUGCAAGUCGGGUGUGAAAUCCCCAGGCUUAACCUGGGAACUGCAUUCGAGACUGCAUUGCUAGAGUAUGGGAGAGGGAAGUGGAAUUUCCGGUGUAGCGGUGAAAUGCGUAGAUAUCGGAAGGAACAUCAGUGGCGAAAGCGACUUCCUGGACCAAUACUGACGCUCAUGUGCGAAAGCGUGGGUAGCAAACAGG
rnacentral:rRNA from 1 species